UUAUCACAGCCCUUCUUCCAAGACUCAAGAAUCUAUUAAAAAAUAAAAUAAAAAAUAAGAGUAGGCCGAAAGAGCCAGAGGUGAAGCAAACUCAUAUCAAAUAAACUCAAAUUUAACAAAAUAGGAAAGAUCUGCCUUGUUACCAUGGGAGAAAUCCAGGUACCAACUCCAAGACCACCAACCAUCAGAGCUGCUCCUACAGCCCCUUUACAACGCAGAAUAAACAAGGAAACAGAGUUGUGAAUUUUAUAAAAAAUAGAAUAUCCUCUUGGAUGACAAUGAUGAUGCUGCACAGUCUCUCAGAUUGUUUAUAAUGAUUUAAAGUUCAAAUAUGUCACCACAUAGUCUCGCAUUUGAAAAGAUGAGAUGAGAUGAGACAGGACAGCCAUUAUAUUUUCCUUAUUAAUUUAGUGUUCAAAUCUACUUUGGUACCUUUCUUUAUGUACCUUGGAAGUUCUGAUCUUCUUGUGUGUGCAAUACCACACUGGGUUUAUAAUACACAACUUGGUCAUCAAAUGUUUGUGAGUGUAUUGCUAGAGACUGAACAUAAAGCGUAUGCAUGAUAUUAAGCAUGAAUUAUUCCACCGAGCUACAUCCCAGACAAGAGUCUUUGAUGAAUAUAAGAAUGCUAAUUGGUUAAAUGAAGAUAAUUACAAUAAAUGAUAGAAGAGCCAUUGACUUAAGUUAUGAAGUUAUUAUUUAGGCAUUAGAAAAUACAGUAAGAGCAUAUUAUAAUUUAAAUGGGCAUUUAUAAUAGGAGGAGAGCUGAAACUUAAGUUAGAGUCUGAUUAUGAAUUAAAACUAAAGACUAAAAUUCCUAAAGUAACUCAGUUUUAAUGAUAGCUGAAAUAAACCUAAAAAUUCAAACCAGAAAGCACAAAAGUAGUAAUAAGGGCUAGAAUGAUAUAUACACACCUAAGGUCCUGUUGGAAAAGAAGGGAAUUUGUAUUGUCAAUUCAGCUAAAAUGUUUUAAAUAAGUAUAUUCCAAGUAGUUUAUGAAAUUUUGAAAUAUUAACUAGAAACUCCUGACAAAUAAUGCCAAUAUUUCAUUAAUAUGUCACAAUUCCUGAAAAACUAAGUCAUGAAACAAUCUAUGAAGAGUUGUUGGAAAAAUAAACCCACUUUUGAACAAUAGACUUUUGCUCCUCUUUGUUUUGUAUCUUUGAAAUCAGUUGGAACAAGUAAGUACCACCUGGUUAGUUUCUAGCAUAGUCCCUUUCUCUGAUUAGUGUCCUCAUCACACAUCACACACAUCAAUUCACCACAGUUUAGUUGGACAUGAAUCCAGUUUAAUUGGAAUAUGAAAUCACACUGAGGCCCCAUGUUAUCCUUCACAUUGGAAUAAUUCAAGAGGACCUACUGUUAUUUUAUCAAAUCAUCAUAGCUUGCAUUUUCGAUGAUCAAAUCAUAUUAUGGUAACAAUUCAUCUGGGAAUUUAAAGUAAUAUCACUGCAGAUACUCUGAAGUAUUCUAUGAAAAUUAUGCACACACUGAGGAGGAAAUAUAAACUGGAGGAGACACUAAGCCUACCUGAAAGAAUUACUGCUGACAGCAAGAAUCCUGGAAUGUUCUGUAACCCAUUCACAAUGACAAGACUACAUCAGAAUUUUCCCUAAAGAUCUACAUUAAUACUUUAUUGUUACCCUUACAGUAUAUACCCAUUGAUAAUUUAUAACUAAGAUUAAAAUUUACACAAAAAGUAUUGAAUCCAUAUUUAGACUAUAGGCUGUUAUAUAAAUAACUUUCUAGAUCUUUAAGUCCUGUGUAACAAGUAAUAGUUUUAUCACC
rnacentral:lncRNA from 1 species